GGGGCUUUCCCCCUUUUGCUCAGCACUUCUCCUUGCUGCUGCUGUGUGAAGAAAGAUGUGUUUUCUUCCCCUUCCUCCAUGAUUGUAAGUUUCCUGAGGCCUCCUCAGCAAUGCUGAACUAAUCUCACCUUGUCACCCAGGCUGGAGUGCAAUGGCAUGAUCUCAGCUCACUGCAACCUCUGUUUCCCAGGCUCAAAUGAUUCUCCUGCCUCAGCCUCCUGAGUAGCUGGGAUUACAGGCGCCCAUGGACUACCAGCUUUUUAAGUGGACUUUUUAGCCAAAGGUCAAGGGAAACUACCCUCUUCCUACUGGGGUUCAAAUUGAUUAAAAUGGUUUGCUUUGA